GCACCCAUAGCUCAAUUGGUUAGAGCAGUUGCCUCUUAAGCAAACGGUUGCAGGUUCGAUUCCUGCUGGGUGCACCA
rnacentral:tRNA from 5 species